GGCUUGAUGGUGUAGUUGGUUAUCACGUCAGUCUAACAUCCAAAAGGAUGGUUCACUGAAGGUCGGGAGAUCGAGCCUCCCUCGAGUCA
rnacentral:tRNA from 1 species